rnacentral:rRNA from 1 species
UACGUAGGGACCAAUCGUUGUUCGGAUUUACUGGGCGUAAAGGGCGCGUAGGCGGCAAUUUAAGUCAUCUGUGAAAUCUCCGGGCUUAACUCGGAAUGGUCAGGUGAUACUGCUUUGCUAGAGUGCAGAAGGGGCAAUCGGAAUUCUUGGUGUAGCGGUGAAAUGCGUAGAUAUCAAGAGGAACACCUGAGGUGAAGACGGGUUGCUGGGCUGACACGUGACGCUGAGGCGCGAAAGCUAGGGGAGCAAACGGG